GAUGAAGAACGUAGCGAAAUGCGAUAAGUAAUGUGAAUUGCAGAAUUCAGUGAAUCAUCGAAUCUUUGAACGCACAUUGCGCCCGCCAGUAUUCUGGCGGGCAUGCCUGUUCGAGCGUCAUUUCAACCAUCAAGCCCCCGGCUUGUGUUGGGGACCUGCGGCUGCCGCAGGCCCUGAAAACCAGUGGCGGGCUCGCUGUCACACCGAGCGUAGUAGAUUUUCAUCUCGCUCAGGGCGUGCUGCGGGUUCCGGCCGUAAAAAGCCUUAUUUACCCAAGGUUGACCUCGGAUCAGGUAGGAAGACCCGCUGAACUUAAGCAUAUCAAUAAGCGGCGGA
rnacentral:misc_RNA from 1 species